rnacentral:tRNA from 1 species
CUGUGAGUAGCUCAGUGGUAGAGCUUGUGCUUAUUAGACAUAAGGGCCUGGGUUCAAGCCCUGCACAAAAG